AGUGAACGCUGGCGGUGUGCCUAACACAUGCAAGUCGAACGGAAGCACACUAAUAGCUUGCUCUUACGGGUUGCGAGUCGCGGACGUGUGAGGCAUAUAUCGGAAUCUACUUUUUGGUGGGGGAUAACGUAGGGAAAGUUACCCUAAUACCGCAUACCACCUUCGGUGGAAAGCAGGGGAUCUUCGGACCUUGUUGGAUUGAAUGUGCGGAUGUGGGAUUAGCUAGUUGGGGGGUUAAUGGCCAACGAAGUCGCAGAGCUGUAGCUGGUCUGAGAGGAUGAUCGGCCACACUGGAACUGAGACACGGACCAGACUCCUACGGGAGGCAGCAGUAGGGAAUAUUGGGCAAAGGUCGAAAGCCUGAUCCAGCCAGACCGCGUGUGUGAAGAAGGCGUUCGGGUCGUAAAGCCCUUUUGUUGGGAAAGAAAAGCAGUAGGUUAAGACCACGCUGUAGUGACGGUACCCAAACAAGAAGCACCGGCUAACUACGUG
rnacentral:rRNA from 1 species